rnacentral:sRNA from 1 species
UUUUGGAGUAGAUGGAGAUGGCAUAAAACAUCUUAGUAUAUACCUGCAGAUGGCUUUCUGGGAAAAAAAAACAAACGUGUUAGUAUGUACUCACUUUGUUACAGAAUCUCAAGUAACAAUUUUACUGGUAUUCUUGAAAAGCAAAUUGUAUCUUUGCUUUAUUCCCCUGAAUUGUUACAACUAUAUCUUGAAGUAACAUUUUAAAAGAGCUCUUUUAAAAAUAGGCUUUAAACCUGGCCAGCGGAAAGUUUUAUUUACCUGUUUCAAGAGGAAUGAUAAACGUGAAGUAAAAGUUGCCCAGUUGGCUGGCUCUGUUGCUGAGAUGUCGGCUUAUCAUCAUGGAGAACAAGCAUUGAUGAUGACUAUUGUGAAUUUGGCUCAGAACUUUGUGGGAAGUAACAACAUUAACUUGCUUCAGCCUAUUGGUCAGUUUGGAACUC